UUUUUUUUUUUCACACAGAUGGGUUUUCUCAGUUCCAGUUGAGUGAUUAUAUGUGUGUUACUGCCUUAGCCUGUCCUGUUGUGUGCGUCCAUUAAAAUGUAAGUAAGCAAUGUACAUUCUUCUUUUCUAAUGAUCAUUUUUAUUCUUCUUAUUCUGUUCUCCAUCACUCCUCUUGCUUACUAACCUUAAUUAAGAGUAAGUGAAGAAUUGUAAAGCUUGCUUCCACCUGUGCAGAGCUGCAAUGUUUAAUGUUACUAUGUUCAUAGUGACUAUUUGAUAUUUACUUUUUAAAGUUUAUUGUGCUAUUACAAACUUAUUCACAUAAAACUCUGUAUCAUUUGAAUUUGUUUUCUUUACCCAAAUACUUGUGAGUCAAAAAAAUCAUGAUUUUUCAUAUUGAAUUCAGCCUCCUUUGUUGGAUAAGAGGAUUCUGUGUUUUAAUAUUAUCUGGAGAACAUUGCCUCACAGUUUCAUAUUGUGGCAAAGAUUUGCAUCCUUUUCGCGUGGUGCUUUUAACCAGGUUGUCUGCAUUUUAUUUGUUCUAUAUCUUUCAUUUCUCUUCCUUUUUGGAAAGCAAACUUAUGCAAACCUACAAACAGAAAAAGACAUCUCUCCUGCACACCCUGUAAAGACUGUUAAACAAUAAAGUUCUCUUCACAGAAGCUUCUGGACUAUCGGUGACUUAAUUUGUCACUUUAGUUUUGGUUUGCUCUUUGUCACACUAUCUGUGGUAACCAACGUACCACGUGUGGCUGACUGUUCUGAAAGUGUGACUGCAGUUCCCAGUGUUGUUUAGAUUCAAGUUUUCACAUGCAAUUACAACAGAGAGGAGAACAUAUUUGUUCAUAUGUGGUAAAUAUUUCUUAAGAUCAGUUCAGUACAGCAGCCUGUCUCAGUUCUCUUUGUGUUGGCAAGGAAAGUGAAUCACUUUAUUUCCUGCCCCUGUGAAAAUACCCUGCCUAUAUCAUCUCCCGUUUACUGUUUCCUGUCAGUUAGGGCUGAGGUUCACAGCAGAUUUACACCCGGAUGUGUCCAAAAUUUUCUAGAUUCAUUUUAAAACAUUAAAACCACAGCGUGGGUGAAUAAAAAGCAUGGAGCAGUUUCUUAUUCUUGUGCUAAUGGCAGCGGGAACUCAUGCUCUGGUUCCAGUUGAUGAGACUACUUGUGACCUCAGGACGAGCACAUGUCCAUGCUCUCCUCUUCUUGAAGAAACUGUAUAUAUCCAAGUGAUGACUGAUGCUAAUGGCUGUCAACUGCAGUGUUCGAAGGUGCUUCCCACUGAGACAAAAACUGUGUUCAAUAUGAAGAAAGGAAAAACAACAACAACAGACAAGGAAUUUAACAACAGACUAACAUUUAUAAUCAACAACGGGACAAUCAAGAUCACAAACGUGAGGAGGAGUGACUCAGGUCAAUACAGCAUUGAGGUCUUUAAUUCAAAUGGAGUCCAAGAGAAAAACAUUAAUUUCACCCUGGAUGUUAAAGGCAAUGGAAACUUUGAAGGCAAGGCACUCUGGAACUUCGAAGCAGACAAGUGUCUUUACCUGGUCAUAGCCUGUUGUGUACUGGCAUUUCUCCUGAUAGCAGUGUCAUGCUGUUUUGCGUGUAGAGAAAUUAACCAUCGUAAACAAGGUUCACGUGCUCCUGUACUUUAAGCAACAAGAUGACUGAGCUGACCUCAAAAAGAAAUCAGGAGGUGACUGUGAUAUUUUCAUUUUAUACUUGUACAUACUGAAAAAGACUUGUUGGGGUUUUGUCUGUAAGGGUUUUUGUAUGGUCUUUACUGUACAAUAUAUUGCACAUUGAAGCAACUGUAAUUGUGAUUUGGUGAAAUAUAAAUAAAACAGAAUGGAAAUUGAUCCAAAAAAUUUAUGUAGAUGAUUAAAAUGUUCAUUUCUAAAGCCUGUCUGAAGCCUGAUUAUGCAACACUAAAGUAAAAAAAAUAAAUAAAUAAAUCAAAAUUUCAAUGUAAUUUUUUUUAUGUAUAGCAUUAGCUAGAAAUAUAAUAAAAGGUAUAUUAAACCUUUUGAUUUCUUAAAGUUUUUUUUAAAUUUGUCAUUUAACUCAUAUGUUUCUUUCACUGAAUAAACAUGUGAUAAAAAAAAUUAAUAGUUUAAAAGCUAAAACUGUUAUAACUGACAGGACUGUAUGUGACUGUAGGCAAAUGGGGCAGGAUAAAAUCAAAAGAAAUAACAGAUCAAAAUGAGAUUUUGUGGAAGAUGCUGCAGGCAUGCCUGUGGUUUGUAUGUUGACAUGUUUCACUUCCUUCAAACUGUAGUAACUGUUUACAAUGAAAAUCACUCCUUGUAUGGCAAAACUUAACAUGGAAUCUCAGAACACGGAACUGCAGAAAAUAUAUCAAAAAUCUGAAGUGCUGAGAUUCCAGUUUUUUGAUUGCUGCAACACUUCAUGUCAGCACAGUGGCCUUUAAAUAAAGUAAAUAAAA
ensembl:lncRNA